UCCCUCCGAGAACACCUCUCGCCAUGACGUCUACUCAUACUGGACGUCCCAGAUCUGACCCUUGACUUACCGCAUUUUAUACCAUUACCACCACCUUUUAAAAAGGGCUUUAAGCCAAGGACAUAUUUGUCUUCUAUAUAAAAUUGGUACAUUUUAUUUAAACUAUUUAAAUACCCAAAUAACAAUUCAAAAAAAAUUACAUGCUAACUUUAAUGUUUGCGUUCAAAUAUAAUAAUGAUUUCAAUUCAAUGAAUAAAUACUAUUUUGCCAAAGAUUACAAAAAAACUUUUCUUUUUCUUCUUUUAGAUUGCGCUUUCUGAUGACAAAAAUUAGGGUGCAAUAAAGGCAGCUUGCAAUUGUGGUUCUUCCCAACAAGUAUGUACGAAAGGCAAACAAAGAUGGAGUGUCGAUAGCACUUAAAAUCGACGAACGGAUUAAAAGCCUGGUUACCUAACCUUGAAUAGAGCUCUGUUCAACGUCGUGUACCUACAGACUAACCAAAAGAAAAAACCGCGGAAUUUAAUUAUGAUGCUUCGUCGUCCGUCUGUCUGUCCGAGGUUUCUUGUAUAAAAUGUCGGUUGGGAAUACCAAGCCACGCUGGGUUAGCAAUGGCGCAAAAUCAGCGGCUCCCUCGAUGGAUUGGAUGGGCGAUGGUGUGGCUUGUAGGCUCCAAUUCUCCAUGAAUUUUUAGGUUUAAGAUUUAUUUUCUUGGUUUAGAUUUUUAGUUAAUUGUUUUGGUUUUUCUUUUCAAUUUUGUUAAAUUGUUUCCAAACUUUGUUUAAUUUUAAAAAAAGUUCAAUUUUUCUUUUAAUUUUCCAUUUUUGUGAAAACUAUUUGUUUUGUUAUAAGUUUUCUUUCAAUUUUUAGCCUUUUGUUGUUAAAUUUUGUUAAAUUAUUUUAAGGCUUCCAAUU